UACGUAGGGGGCAAGCGUUAUCCGGAUUUACUGGGUGUAAAGGGAGCGUAGACGGCAGGGCAAGUCUGGAGUGAAAGGCAGGGGCCCAACCCCUGGACUGCUCUGGAAACUGUCCGGCUGGAGUGCAGGAGAGGUAAGUGGAAUUCCUAGUGUAGCGGUGAAAUGCGUAGAUAUUAGGAGGAACACCAGUGGCGAAGGCGGCUUACUGGACUGUGACUGACGUUGAGGCUCGAAAGCGUAGGGAGCAAACAGG
rnacentral:rRNA from 1 species